GACGAACGCUGGCGGCGUGCUUAACACAUGCAAGUCGAACGGAAAGGCCCUGCUUUUGUGGGGUGCUCGAGUGGCGAACGGGUGAGUAACACGUGAGUAACCUGCCCUUGACUUUGGGAUAACUUCAGGAAACUGGGGCUAAUACCGGAUAGGAGCUCCUGCUGCAUGGUGGGGGUUGGAAAGUUUCGGCGGUUGGGGAUGGACUCGCGGCUUAUCAGCUUGUUGGUGGGGUAGUGGCUUACCAAGGCUUUGACGGGUAGCCGGCCUGAGAGGGUGACCGGCCACAAUGGGACUAAGAUACGGCCCAGACUGCUACGGGAGGCAGCAGUGGGGAAUAUUGCACAAUGGGCGGAAGCCUGAUGCAGCAACGCCGCGUGCGGGAUGACGGCCUUCGGGUUGUAAACCGCUUUCGCCUGUGACGAAGCGUGAGUGACGGUAAUGGGUAAAGAAGCACCGGCUAACUACGCG
rnacentral:rRNA from 1 species